rnacentral:tRNA from 1 species
GCGGCAGUAGCUCAGUUGGUAGAGCGCUAGCUUCCCAAGCUGGAGGUCGCGGGUUCGAGACCCGGUUUGCCGCU